AUUGAACGCUAGCGGGAUGCUUUACACAUGCAAGUCGAACGAGUCGCGGACGUGUGGGUAAUAUAUCGGACCGUGCCCAGUAGCUGGGUCUACGUACUCGUAAGAGAUGCUACAACCGCAUACUAUUGGAGCGGCCGAUAUCGGAUUAGCUAGUUGGGGGGGUAAAGGCACACGAAGGCAACGAUCCGUAGCUGGUUGGAGAGGACGACCAGCCACACUGGGACUGAGACACGGCCCAGACUCCUACGGGAGGCCGCAGUGGGGAAUUUUGGACAAUGGGGGAAACCCUGAUCCAGCAAUCCCGCGUGUAUGAGAAGGCCUUCGGGUUGUAAAGUACUUUUGGCAGAGAAGCGGUAUCUGCAGAAUAAGCACCGGCUAACUACGUGCCAGCAGCCGCGGUAAUAC
rnacentral:rRNA from 1 species